GUUAAGCGACUAAGCGUACACGGUGGAUGCCCUGGCAGUCAGAGGCGAUGAAGGACGUGCUAAUCUGCGAUAAGCGUCGGUAAGGUGAUAUGAACCGUUAUAACCGGCGAUUUCCGAAUGGGGAAACCCAGUGUGUUUCGACACACUAUCAUUAACUGAAUCCAUAGGUUAAUGAGGCGAACCGGGGGAACUGAAACAUCUAAGUACCCCGAGGAAAAGAAAUCAACCGAGAUUCCCCCAGUAGCGGCGAGCGAACGGGGAGGAGCCCAGAGCCUGAAUCAGUGUGUGUGUUAGUGGAAGCGUCUGGAAAGGCGCGCGAUACAGGGUGACAGCCCCGUACACAAAAAUGCACAUGCUGUGAGCUCGAUGAGUAGGGCGGGACACGUGGUAUCCUGUCUGAAUAUGGGGGGACCAUCCUCCAAGGCUAAAUACUCCUGACUGACCGAUAGUGAACCAGUACCGUGAGGGAAAGGCGAAAAGAACCCCGGCGAGGGGAGUGAAAAAGAACCUGAAACCGUGUACGUACAAGCAGUGGGAGCACGCUUCGGCGUGUGACUGCGUACCUUUUGUAUAAUGGGUCAGCGACUUAUAUUCUGUAGCAAGGUUAACCGAAUAGGGGAGCCGAAGGGAAACCGAGUCUUAACUGGGCGUUAAGUUGCAGGGUAUAGACCCGAAACCCGGUGAUCUAGCCAUGGGCAGGUUGAAGGUUGGGUAACACUAACUGGAGGACCGAACCGACUAAUGUUGAAAAAUUAGCGGAUGACUUGUGGCUGGGGGUGAAAGGCCAAUCAAACCGGGAGAUAGCUGGUUCUCCCCGAAAGCUAUUUAGGUAGCGCCUCGUGAAUUCAUCUCCGGGGGUAGAGCACUGUUUCGGCAAGGGGGUCAUCCCGACUUACCAACCCGAUGCAAACUGCGAAUACCGGAGAAUGUUAUCACGGGAGACACACGGCGGGUGCUAACGUCCGUCGUGAAGAGGGAAACAACCCAGACCGCCAGCUAAGGUCCCAAAGUCAUGGUUAAGUGGGAAACGAUGUGGGAAGGCCCAGACAGCCAGGAUGUUGGCUUAGAAGCAGCCAUCAUUUAAAGAAAGCGUAAUAGCUCACUGGUCGAGUCGGCCUGCGCGGAAGAUGUAACGGGGCUAAACCAUGCACCGAAGCUGCGGCAGCGACACUAUGUGUUGUUGGGUA
rnacentral:rRNA from 1 species